CAGACACGGACUCACAUAAAUGCAAUCCACAUGCACACACUCACACAAUAGGCUGUUAUGCACAGACCCUCACACUCAUGUGAACACACUCAUGCACACGCAAGACUUACAUAUUCACACUCACACCCGUGGGCACACCCAGACAUGGAUACACACUCAUACAGGCACAUACGUAUCCAGACACCCACGCACAGACACUCACACCCACGGGCACACCUAGACAUGGAUACACAGGCACACACAUAUUGGGACACCCACGCAUAGACACUCACAUUCACACACGGGCACACCCAGACUGAUGCACACGAACACAGGCACGCACUAGUAUAGCCAGACACACAGGCACACUCAAACUCUCACAGUCACACAUUCACAUACACUCACAUGAAUACAAUGCAUGCACACACAAACAUACCUAUACACUUGUGUGUGCAGAGAACACACACACAUUUGCACUUAUACUCACAUGAAUACAAUAGAAACACAUGCAUACACACUUGUGUGCCCAGACCCACACUCACACAUUUGCACACUCACAUGACUAUAAUACAUGCACACAUGCAUACAUACAUGUGACCAGACCCACACCCACUCACAUUCGCACUCACACACACGUGAAUAUAGUACUCGCACACACAUGCAUACACGUGCCCAGACCUACAGACACACUCACAUUUGCACAGUCACACGUGAAUAUAGUAUAUGCACACACACACUUAUGUGCGCAGACCCACAGACACACACAUUCACACUCUCACACAUGUGAAUAUAGUACAUGCACACACACACGCAUACACACUCGUGCCCAGACACACACACUCACACAUUCGCACACUCAGAGUGCCCCCCUCCCUCUCACAGGCCUUGUCCUGGGGACGAGUCAAGCCGUCAGGUACCUACACUCUGAGCUCCCGGAUCACUGGGCCGACACCGGAGGCUGCUGCUGUUUGUGGUCCGUCUUCCUGUGGAGUGUAUUCGACUGCGGGGGCGUCCACAAGGUGGGUGUGGGUGGGCCCGGAGACCUUUCUUCCGGGAGGCCAAGUUUCCAAAGCCAGUCCUUCACGUUCAAGGAUGCCCUCUCCCUGCAGGAUCCUGGACUUGUCAUGGGGUCUGGAUUAGGUUAUGCUAAUGGCAUCCACACUUGGCCUUUCCCCUCUUUCCUUAUAAAUCAGCCAACAAUGGGAGGCCGUGGGCUUCGCCAGAAGCCUCUGGAAACAGAGCUGCUCCUUUCCAGCAGGCCAGGCCGACCGGGGAGGCUGCGGCCCAUCGUGCGCUGGGGGAAGGUGAGCCAGGCUCCCAUCACGUGCCGGGAGCUGAUCUUGGCAGGUCGCGUCCUCCCGAAGCCUGCACUUCAGCCCCAGGGUUUUCCGACCGCCUCUGCUCCCAGAGGGGACCCGCAGGGACGAAGAGGCCGAACACAGCACCGAGACCUCAGUGUCGGGCGCGGGUGCUCCCAAAGCGCAGCGGGCCCACCUCCCCCGGCAGAGGAUCGUGCGGCGGUCAAAGUCGCACACGGGGCUUCUGAGACGUGCGGCCCGGGCCUAAGAGCUGCAUGUGUGCAAGCCGCUCCGUGUUGGAAAAUGUAUGUAAAGUAAAAUAAACACGGCUCUCGCUGGGAGGGCUCCGGCAUCCAGGGUUCUGGCGGGGCGGGGGGAUGCGGUCAGCCAAAGCAUUUGAGGAAGCGGCUGUGACUCACGGGGCCUGAGCUGCAGAGGAGCUGGCUGCCGAGAUGCAGGACACGCCGGAGACACUGGACCCGGGACGCUCAACACACCCUGCCCCCCACUGCAGAGACGGGCUCCAGGGAGGCACAAUGGCAGGCUUUGUCUCGG
rnacentral:lncRNA from 1 species